UGGGGGAUAUUGCACAAUGGGCGAAAGCCUGAUGCAGCGACGCCGCGUGGGGGAUGAAGGCUUUCGGGUUGUAAACCUCUUUCGCUAUCGAACAAGGCCCGCUUAGGGUGGGUUGAGGGUAGGUGGAGAAGAAGCGCCGGCUAACUACGUGCCAGCAGCCGCGGUAAUACGUAGGGCGCGAGCGUUGUCCGGAAUUAUUGGGCGAAAAGGGCUUGUAGGCGGCUUGUUGCGCCUGCUGUGAAAACGCGGGGCUUAACUUCGCGCGUGCAGUGGGUACGGGCAGGCUUGAGUGUGGUAGGGGUGACUGGAAUUCCAGGUGUAGCGGUGGAAUGCGCAGAUAUCUGGAGGAACAACGAUGGCGAAGGCAGGUCACUGGGCCAUUACUGACGCUGAGGAGCGAAAGCAUGGGUAGCGAACAGG
rnacentral:rRNA from 1 species